AAUCCGUGUUCAGCAACUAUGUUAAAUGCCAUGUACGUAAAUUUUACAACGCUACGCGUUCGAAGCGCGCACAGGUGCAUAUUGAAGAAAAGUUUCCAGGGUAGAUAAUUUAGUUCGCAAUUUACACUAAUUUUGCUCUAACCACGAGACAUAAUAAUUUGAAUAUACUGCACGGAAAAACCUAGAGCGAAUUAAAUUGUGUGUCAGCUUCGUGUGUAUACAUAUAGUCUUUCCUAUGCAUUAGGUUUUUUGUGUAAUGCAUUAACAGUUGACAGCCUAUCUUAUGAUGUGUACUCUGUUUACAUUACAGUUGUUUAUUAGUUUACUCAUUUGUUUUGCGACUGAUGAAAUGCCGGCAUAUAUAUAUUUUCAACAUUUGACAUAACCCUGUAUGUUUUGCAGGGACAACCCAAGACGUGCAUUUCUCAGCACCCAGUCAACUGCCAAAAGUGACUCAAACACAGGCCACCAGUGGAACUCGGCUGUACCACUGCAGUGCUGCGCAAAUUGCCUUCACCAGCGGCUUUGCAACAGCUGUUUCGCAGCAUGUCGGAGACAAUGCCUACGAAAUUAUUGGCCCUGAUCAUGAGAGCCCUCAAGGGGCAAACAACAUCUCUGUUGCAGAAGUGAGCCCGAUACCACUUGGAAGUUACCAUGACAGAUGACACGGCAGCAAUAGAUACAGAGACUGCCAUGUCUACUGCAGCUGCAACAGUGUACGAGGCAAGCAGCAGCGCGUCAGCAUCAGCAGCAGUGUCAGAAGGAACCACACCAGGCCUGGUAGAGCAACAUGUGUGCUAUCACUGACUUUUUUUUGUAGUGGAUACAACUCAUUUGCUCAACAUACAAAAGCUUUUCACCACGACUGUGAGCCAGUGUUAUUGUGCAGCAAGUGCAAGACUAAGUUAGGUGUUAUAACACAGUACAAGCAUCACUUUAAUAUAUGCAAAUGCAAACAUAUUACAGUUGUUGCCUCCCCAGCCAGCCCACAUAGUGACAACAAUGUGGAACACAUGGUGGGACACACCUCUCCCCCAUUACAAGAUAGUAGAGACUGUCAGUGUUGUUGCUAGAUUGACUGUUC